rnacentral:lncRNA from 1 species
UCUGUAGGUUUAUAGUUCUAUUUCGUGAGUUGUUUCUGUAACUUGUUUUUUUUUUUUUGCUAGUUCUGCUGAAACGAAUGAAUCUCUGAAAUGAUUCUGACAUCUCACCUUUGAACCUGUCUCCCGGAGCAAUUCAAAAUAGCGUGGCAGAGUCUCCACACAGUCCUGAUUCUCCUAUUCAACACACAACCUGUUCUCUGCAGCACCAAAUCAGAGAUGCUUCAAACAAAUAUUGCCUGUUGAAGAACAGAGAAUCAGAAAUUGAUUGUCAUGAUCUGUGCAGCUUUCUUCAAUACAUCAUCCGUCAGCCAGAAGUUUAUUGACUUCUCAAAACCCCUUGAUGAAGACAUCUACAUCUUCGAUCAAAGGACUGGCUUUGAAUUAAAUCAACUCUAGUCUGUCGUGAAACAAAGGUUGCACUGGAUUUAUGGUGAUUACAAAAGGCUGGCUCAGGACAUGGAAGCAACCUAGAUGUCCAUCGGCAGAUGAAUGGAUGAGAAAGCUGUGGUGCACGGGAGGAGCCAGUACGUGGAACUGUCCAAGGUUAGAAACCCAAGGAUCAGAAACACUUCGGGGACUCAGUGGAAGGAAUCUUUCCAAAGACCCAUCCAUCUCACUCUCAAGCCUUGAAGGUCAUCACUCAAUUUGGUGGAAUGUGAAGAGCAUUUUAAUUUUUAACUGAAGACAUUCUCGGGUGUGU